rnacentral:lncRNA from 1 species
CAGUGUUAUGUCGGACAUAAAACAAGCGAAAAGGUUCUGUUUGACGGAAAAUCACGUCAAGGAUAUUAUGAUAAUGAAAUGGAACAUUGAAUUAUUAAACAUUGGAGAUUUACUAAGAAGAUAGUUAAAUUAUCUAAUAAAUCAUACAAGUCAUAUUAAUGUGUACUUAAUUUUUAUUUAUUUAAUUUAUUACAUUAGUAGGUACUUAUGUUUGGGUAUUAGAACCGUUGUCUACGAUGAUGGAUGAAAGUUUGGUCGUUAUAGACGCUGAAAGCUGUAAUAUGUGUUCGGCUGGUUUAAUGCAAUACCCUGCUCCAUUGGUAAUGAAAACCAUAACUAUUUUGUCUGUGAAAUUGGAAGCAAAAACGUUGCAGCCACAUACGUAAUCAUUGUACACCUUCCAAAUUAAUUAAAUAAGGACGACACAAAAAAUGAACAUAUUAAGGAAUGACCACCACUGCAGUCAUGGAUCUCCGCCGAGUCUGUUGUUUCUUCUAAUUCAAUAAAUAUAUCGUUAUCCUCAAAUUCUUAAUGGAUCUUCGAUAAAACUUCCUAACUUCGAGACUCCAAUUACUCAUUAUUGGAGAAGCGAGAGUAACUCCAUUGUUUUCCAUUGUAAAGUUAUAGGAAAUCAACAAAAUUUGGGAAAUUUUCGAAAUGGAGUGGAAUAUUGCAGAAGAUAAGGAUCUUGGUUAUAUCACUAAUUAAAUUAAAUUUUUUAGAAUUGGAAUUAUUUAUGUGACUUGUAUACAGUUCCAAAUUCCUCAAGUGAAUCCGGUUUUUAAUGUGCUUUUCUACUGUAAACUAAAUCAAAACUUUGAUCACAAAAACGCCAUGCCAAAAACCUAGAAGAAUCUUCUGAACUCAAUAUAUAUUUAUAUAAAAUAUCAGCUAUUAAAGAAUACAUAGAAAUUAAAUACCCUUUAAAAGAUAUUAUAUAAAAAUAAAAUAUUAAUGAAUUUUGCAAUAAAAUAAUAUUAAUUCUU